AGAGCUUAUUUCCCACUCUUGCUUCAUUAGAUUUCAGGUUUGGCAGUGAAGGGCUAGAAAAUGGAGCCAGAUGGGCUAGGAAAGCAGUUGAAAGCGUAAAAGAGACCUCAAGGAGACGUCAGAUAUUGCAGAGUGAGAAACUACCCAUGCAGGCAAAUGGAAACAAAAAUGAUGCCAUUGACGCUAUGGAACAGGGACGUAACAAACCUUGACAUGCCACACUACACGAGAAGUGUUCCAUCCUGUGCUCUGCAGAUCGUGUUUGUGACACAUUCCCUUGGAUGAGGGCCACUGACAAGUGUUGUCUUUAGAAAUUGCCUUCAGUAGUCCGGGAGUGGGAAGCAAAGGCUCCAAUUGAGUUGUAGGAGAGAGAAAAAUAAUUAUGCUUGACCAAGUGCCAGAUGUCUGCCAAGCUAUGCUAAAUAGUUCUCGGCCUUUCCAUUUUGCUCAAUUCUCAACAACGGUUUGAUACUUUUGAAGCUGUUUUCCCCUUCUUGCAGAUGAAAGGCUGAGCCCUGAGGCUGUUAAAUAAUGUGCCCGAGUGAACACGGCUGGGCCAUGGUGAGAAGUCAGAAACAAAUGGAAAAUGGAACCAAUGGGAAGGAAAUCACGGAGUUUGUUUUGCUGUGAGAAAGACCAUUGACAUGUUAACAAUCAUCUCAAAGUUGAUGGUAUGCCACCUGGAGAGUCAUCAGAGGAACAGUCUAUCAUGCAAAGGGCCAGAAGAGACCUCAUGACUAUCAUCCUACAUAAAAGAACCCAAGCCAGUAGGUCUGAAUAAAUAAUCAGGAACUUGGGGCGAGAGCCAAGAGUCCCAGAGAGCAAAUAGAACCUACAUUUUUUUGAAAGUUAUUUAUUUAUUAAUAUUUUAAUUUUUAGUUUUUUUAAAAAUUUAUUUUAGAAAGAAAGCGCACAAGUGGGGGAGAGGGGCAGAGAGACAGAAUCUCAAGCGGGCACCACGUUCGGCUUGAAACCCAAUGUGGGGCUCAACCCCAUGACCCUGGAAUCAUGACCUGAGCCAAAAUCAAGUGUCUGUCAUUCAACUGACUGAGCCACCCAGGUACCCCAGAAUCUACAUUUUUUGUGUGUGGGAGAGAGGGAGGGAGAGCGUGUGUGUGGAGGGGUAGAGACAGAGGGGGGGGAAGAGAGACAAUCUGAAGCAGGUCCCACGCUGUGAGCAUGGAGCCCGACCCAGGCUCGAUCUCACAAACUGUGAGAUGGUGACCUGAGCCUAAAUCAAGAAUCAGAUGCUUAACUGACUGAGCCACCCAGGCGCCCCCAGAAUCUACAUUUUCAAAUAGAUGGUGGGUAAAUUUAACGUUUUUGGCUGGGAAUCUCAAUAUGUGUAUUAUGUGAUCAAUUCAGGAGAUCACAUUGGAUAGUUAGGUUUAUUGAUGGAAUGAGAUGGCAGAGUAUGGUUAGAAGCAACUACAUUUUAAAGACACAUAGGUCCUGUCACACCGUCAGGGGCUGUGCUGUGCUCAUUAUUUGGUCAGUCUGUAUCCCUGGCGGAGUUGUGAGCCCCUGGAAAAGAGGGCUAUGUCGUUGAUCUGAGCACUCCUAGUACCCAGCUCAGUGCUUUGAGUAUUCAAUGUAUGUCUACUGAUUUUGGUCCACCUGCAUGUAUUAUGUGUGUGAAAGUCCUGUAGGAACAGCAUGAGCCAAUGCAGCCAUUCAAUACAAUGAGUCUCCGAACUUGAUUUCCAACCCAAGUUAUCACUGGAAUAAAAUGUUGCUCACCACCAAGCACUCACCUCUGACCACGGGCUUCCCUUAGGGGAUUCACCCACACAAUGGGGAAAGGUUAUCUUAAUCAAUUGACUCUCAUCCUGCCAGUUGAACGUCCUUGCACACUGUCCACCUCUCUGCAUACUGUGGUUCACGUCUCUAGAAUGGAGAUGACUACUCAAGGUUUUGAUGGAGCACGAAGUGAAUUAAAGACCGGAAGCACUUUGUAGUGUUGGCAUUGAUGAGGAACUUCACAUGAGCUAGUUGCAUCCCCUAUGCUUCCUCCUCCCCUCCUUCCAGCUUCCAUCACUUCUGGACUGGCCUGAAGAGCCAUAACUGAAGAGAGAUAUGAAUUAUUAAUGCAGCUACUCCUUCAUCACUUACUUAACCCCAGCUGCAAGUUCUUAGUAAACAUUCCCUCUCAGCCUUUCUCCAGCUGGAGAAGCUCCACCCCUAGUUCCCAGUAUGCUGUCAUCAAUGCCAGGAGUCAGCAAAACACUACCCGCCGGCUAAGUCUAUCCCAUCACCUAUUUUUGUAAAUAAAAUUUUAUUGGAACACAA